rnacentral:tRNA from 1 species
AUAGCUCAGUCGGUAGAGCAGGGGACUGAAAAUCCCCGUGUCGGUGGUUCGAUUCCGCCU